AACGGAUCUCGAUUGGUGACCAGCGGAGGGACAUUACAGAGUUGCAAAACUCCCUAAACCAUUGUGAACGUUACCUAUACCGUUGCUUCGGCGGGCGGCCCCGGGGUUUACCCCCCGGGCGCCCCUGGGCCCCACCGCGGGCGCCCGCCGGAGGUCACCAAACUCUUGAUAAUUUAUGGCCUCUCUGAGUCUUCUGUACUGAAUAAGUCAAAACUUUCAACAACGGAUCUCUUGGUUCUGGCAUCGAUGAAGAACGCAGCGAAAUGCGAUAAGUAAUGUGAAUUGCAGAAUUCAGUGAAUCAUCGAAUCUUUGAACGCACAUUGCGCCCGCCAGCAUUCUGGCGGGCAUGCCUGUUCGAGCGUCAUUUCAACCAUCAAGCCCCCGGGCUUGUGUUGGGGACCUGCGGCUGCCGCAGGCCCUGAAAAGCAGUGGCGGGCUCGCUGUCGCACCGAGCGUAGUAGCAUACAUCUCGCUCUGGUCGCGCCGCGGGUUCCGGCCGUUAAACCACCUUUUUAACCCAAGGUUGACCUCGGAUCAGGUAGGAAGACCCGCUGAACUUAAGCAUAUCA
rnacentral:rRNA from 1 species